rnacentral:tRNA from 1 species
AAACGGGAUGGAGUAAUAUAGGUUAACUCAUUAGACUCAUGAUCUAAAGCUAUAGGUUCAAAUCCUAUUCCCGUCUA